rnacentral:rRNA from 1 species
GUGGGGAAUCUUAGACAAUGGGGGAAACCCUGAUCUAGCCAUGCCGCGUGAGCGAUGAAGGCCUUAGGGUUGUAAAGCUCUUUCAGCUGGGAAGAUAAUGACGGUACCAGCAGAAGAAGCCCCGGCUAACUCCGUGCCAGCAGCCGCGGUAAUACGGAGGGGGCUAGCGUUGUUCGGAAUUACUGGGCGUAAAGCGCGCGUAGGCGGACCAGAAAGUUGGAGGUGAAAUCCCGGGGCUCAACCCCGGAACUGCCUCCAAAACUACCAGUCUUGAGGUCGAGAGAGGUGAGUGGAAUUCCGAGUGUAGAGGUGAAAUUCGUAGAUAUUCGGAGGAACACCAGUGGCGAAGGCGACUUACUGGACUGUAACUGACGCUGAGGCGCGAAAGUGUGGGGAGCAAACAGGAUUAGAAACCCCAGUAGUCC